GACGAACGCUGGCGGCGUGCCUAAUACAUGCAAGUAGAACGCUGAAGGAGGAGCUUGCUCUUCUGGAUGAGUUGCGAACGGGUGAGUAACGCGUUGGUAACCUGCCUGGUAGCGGGGGAUAACUAUUGGAAACGAUAGCUAAUACCGCAUAACAGUAGAUGUUGCAUGACAUUUGCUUAAAAGGUGCAAUUGCACCACUACCAGAUGGACCUGCGUUGUAUUAGCUAGUUGGUGGGGUAACGGCUCACCAAGGCGACGAUACAUAGCCGACCUGAGAGGGUGAUCGGCCACACUGGGACUGAGACACGGCCCAGACUCCUACGGGAGGCAGCAGUAGGGAAUCUUCGGCAAUGGACGGAAGUCUGACCGAGCAACGCCGCGUGAGUGAAGAAGGUUUUCGGAUCGUAAAGCUCUGUUGUAAGAGAAGAACGAGUGUGAGAGUGGAAAGUUCACACUGUGACGGUAUCUUACCAGAAAGGGACGGCUAACUACGUG
rnacentral:rRNA from 1 species